UGGGAGGCACAGUGGGGACAAGAGACUGCAGAGCUCUUUGCCUGCCUUGGCACAUUACCCCAGCACAGUCACCCCCCGCAGGGGCACCCACAGGGCCAGGGGCUGAGCCCGGCUGCUGGGAGUCGCUGUUCCAGCUCUGCAGAGCAAGAUUCAGCACCAGCCCACGGGCACUCCUCUGAGCUCUUCUGAGCUCCAGCAGCCUAGGGAACACACUGCCUCGGCAGCUACAGCGUCUGAGUCACAUCACCUCCCUCCGUCUGCCGCCUCAACCUCCAACACCAGAAGAUCCAGUUUAGCAAAAACUCACUUGCCGGGCAUAGCAGCUUAGUGGCGUCCGUGGGGAGCCGAGAAAAGAACGUGAUGGUGCUUACCUCCUGGGGACAUCAGACUCACUGCAGACAGGCAUGAAAGCGGCAGCACCCAGGAGUCUAUAGCGCACAUCAAACGAUGGUGCCUGAAGACUUCUGCUUCUCCGAUGGCAAGAACUCAGGAAUUAUUAUGCAUUAACUGAGGACCAACCCCAUGACAACUUGCCCUCUUCUGCCCGUGGAAAGAUAUCAGGACUCACACAGGGACACGUCCCAUCUUGCGUCUGCCACUGCUCCCUGGGUCACCCGGGUCCUCUGAUAAGGUGACCAUCUAUGAUGCUCCCACAGCAGAGCAAGUCAAGGGUGCUUCAGAAAACCGGACGUCCAGAGGUGUUAAACGUUACUCUUGAUGUAAUGUAUGCGAUAAAAUAAAACGACGCACAAAAGACUGUAACAUCCUACUACAUAAAGCUGCCAUAUUACUCUCAGAUUUUUAAACUAGACCGAGGGCCAUUUGGUACAGAGAGAAAUCAUUGUUAGAGAUAAAACUUUAUAUAUAUUUUCUGCUUAUUUCAGCAAACAGACCCUAAGC